GAACCCGGUUUUUUUGCCGAAUCUUGGCCCAAUCGAAACGCUUACCCACCGUGGAAAGCUCCAACGCCGCGUAAUUUCUUGUCCCAGACACGUUUUUGAAACUCGAUACUAAAGCCAAUCUGACCACAACACGACAACCUAAUGGAUUCUAUUCGCGCCUUCGAAGGAACAUAGCCUUCCCAGUUCACACAGAAUUGGAUGAAAGGUGCCAUGUUCACUUAGGCGCCAUGGGCACAAAGUGGGGUUGAUGUUCGGUUUCGAGAUAUGAAACGGUUUAGGAAUCUUAAUCUUCAUCGUCUGUGAGAUAAAAAUUGGAAAUUUGAAAAUUUUAUGUGUGAUGAAAUUGAGAUUUUUUUUUUAGGAAUUUGGGGUUUUCGUGACUUCUGGAAAAUAAGGGGAAAAAUUUUAAUGUUUAAGUGGUAUUAAAAUUUUUGUGCUUUAGCAACCGGAAAAAGUAAAGAAAAACUGUUUCAGUUACAGUGUUUUAGCUUAGGGGGCAUUGGAGUCUUUUCUACAUGACAAUGUGUGUUUCCAGUCGAAGGUGACCUGAAGUGUAAUAGGAAAGUGGAAAAGUGACUCCAAAUGAAAAAAAUUCAAUAUUCUGCGUACAAUAUAUUGUUGAGAUUCACAGUUAAUGUGAAAUUAGAUUUUGAAGAAGAACACAAACCUCGACUUUCUGCAAAGCGUUUGUUGGUUGGUCUAACGGUAGCGGUUGGCUGUGAUCGAUCGUCCUUGUGCACCCAAACCUAGUUUGUCCCGCUCUUCCUUGUUAUUCCCGCUCUUCUUCGACGGUUUAUCUAAACCAUUCAACAUAACAUUACCAGUCACGAUAUAAACAUGAUCUUAUCUAAUCAAGAACCAGUUAUCAGUCAUCCAGAAUCAUAAAAUAAGGGAAAUUACCUCUAAUAACUAACAUUUUAUGACUAAUGACUAGACUAACACACAAAAAAAAAGAUAGAAAAUGUACAAUUAAAACUGAAAUGCCCCAUCGGUUAAAAAAAAUUAGUUCCCAAUAAAAAUAAAUUAAGCCAAAAUUACUCUUACUUGACCAAAAAAGGUGAAACCUCUUAGAAAAAAAAAUACACAUCCACGAUACUUUUCUCUUCCAUGACCCCAAAAACCCUAAAUCCCCAAAUUGUGAAAUCCUCAAACUCUUGACUCUCUUUAGUUUCCAUCAUGAUUUCUCAUCGAUUUCUUCAUCUCUACACCCUAAUCAACCACUAAAACCUUUGAUUCACAUAGGAAAAGUGAAUCCAAAACCCAAGCGACGAACCCUAAACUCCCUUUAUAAAAUUUUCAGCUGCGUCGAAUCUCAGGGCUUUCAUCACUUAUUCUCGUUGAUUUCUACACUCUCACAAGCUCCUCUCCACAUCAAUCAGUUUAAUUCACCUAUUUUUGCCAUCAAAGACGGAUGACUACAUCAAAAAGUGGAAAAAAAUAUCCAGCAAGACUUUAUGAAGAGGGGAAAUGUCCAUUGCAAAGUGGAAGCAUGAAUCAUAACUGUCAUUUGGCUAAUUUCCAGAUGGUGGAAGAAGUAGUUGGUUUAGAUGCGUGGGAAUCCAUUAAAACAUCAUCUGUUGGAGUUAUUCUGAGGCUGAAAGAGCUGAAUUAUACCUCGUCAGCCAAGGCGGUUCACAAUUUACUUACAAACCAAUUGGUGGUUAAUAAUAUCCAUGAGAUAUGGUCCUUUCACGAAGAUGAUUCCUUUAUUGUUGAAAGAAAUGGUUCCGGAAAGGAAGAGUUCACAGUAGUUCAGGAUUUCAAGACUAAAAAAUGUUCCGCGGAAUGAAGAGCCUGGUGAUUAUGGUGUUUACGCUCUAAAGUAUAUAGAGUGUAAGGCGAUUGGCUGUGGUUUUGAAGGAUUUUCUGAUCAUCAGUGCAUUCCGGCAAUGCGUAUUAAGUUAGCUGCUGAGAUCUAUGAUGAAGUUUCGUGUCUGUAGUAUUUUAAUGUUUUAGCAUAUGUAGUAUUUUUAUGUUUUGAACGUUAUGGAUAUGUAAUAUUUUCAUUUUUCG